rnacentral:rRNA from 1 species
UACAGAGGGUGCAAGCGUUGUUCGGAAUCAUUGGGCGUAAAGCGCGCGUAGGCGGCCAAAUAAGUCUGAUGUGAAAGCCCAGGGCUCAACCCUGGAAGUGCAUCGGAAACUGUUUGGCUCGAGUCCCGGAGGGGGUGGUGGAAUUCCUGGUGUAGAGGUGAAAUUCGUAGAUAUCAGGAGGAACACCGGUGGCGAAGGCGACCACCUGGACGGUGACUGACGCUGAGGUGCGAAAGCAUGGGUAGCAAACAGG